rnacentral:rRNA from 1 species
AGGGGACUCCGAGUGCGAGGGCAUAUAGUCCUCGCUUUUGAGAACCGUAAGGCGGUUCUCGAAUAAGAGCUGGGCAAGACCGGUGCCAGCCGCCGCGGUAAUACCGGCAGCUCAAGUGAUGGCCAAUCUUAUUGGGCCUAAAGCGUCCGUAGCUGGCCACGAAAGUCCGUCGGGAAAUCCAUCUGCCCAACAGAUGGGCGUCCGGCGGAAACUUCGUGGCUUGGGACCGGAAGGCUCGAGGGGUACGUCCGGGGUAGGAGUGAAAUCCCGUAAUCCUGGACGGACCGCCGAUGGCGAAAGCACCUCGAGAAGACGGAUCCGACAGUGAGGGACGAAAGCUAGGGUCUCGAACCGGAUUAGAUACCCGGGUAGUCCUAGCCGUAAACAAUGUUCACUAGGUGUGGCACAGGCUACGAGCCUGUGCUGUGCCGUAGGGGAAGCCGAGAAGUGAACCGCCUGGGAAGUACGUCCGCAAGGAUGAAACUUAAAGGAAAUUGGCGGGGGAGCACUACAACCGGAGGAGCCUGCGGUUUAAUUGGACUCAACGCCGGACAUCUCACCAGCUCCGACUACAGUAAUGACGAUCAGGUUGAUGACCUUAUCACGAGCUGUAGAGAGGAGGUGCAUGGCCGCCGUCAGCUCGUACCGUGAGGCGUCCUGUUAAGUCAGGCAACGAGCGAGACCCACACAUCUAAUUGCCAGCAGCAGUUCCGACUGGCUGGGUACAUUAGAUGGACUGUCAGUGCCAAACUGGAGGAAGGAAUGGGCAACGGUAGGUCAGUAUGCCCCGAAUGAGCUGGGCUACACGCGGGCUACAAUGGCCAGAACAAUGGGUUGCUAUCUCGAAAGAGAACGCUAAUCUCCGAAAUCUGGUCGUAGUUCGGAUUGAGGGCUGAAACUCGCCCUCAUGAAGCUGGAUUCGGUAGU